rnacentral:lncRNA from 1 species
AUGUGUCAGGAGCAAAGAUACUAUUUCUCCAUUAUUCCUUUCUUCUCCAAAGAGUCUGUUUGGCAGAAUAGGGGUCUUUUUGCAGUCAACAUUUCUUCUUGGAAGACUCCAAGUCUGACAUCUCUCACUGAGCACAGCACCCCUGAAAUCUGCCUUGCCAGCACUGUCUCCAGCAGGACCCUCUCCAUCACAGCAAAGCACAUGCAAGUUGGUAUGCCUUCAGCUCCUGAGAUAAAACUGGACAGCAGGAAUUUGUCUUUUGUCCUCAAAAAAAAAAAAAAAACCAAAAAUAAUAAAAACUGCCUGCUGGGGUUUUCAAAGGAGGUUUUAAACUAGAAAUUUGAGCUUUAGCUCCCAAAAAACUGAUUUUCAUGACCUGCACCCCAUCACUGAAACAGAGGAAUGGAGAAAGACAGCUUGAGAGACAGGCACCCCCCACCCCCAACUCCCUUAGAGGAUUCAGUUAAAAAAAAAUUCAAGGAACUCUAAUGAAAACCAUGCAAACAGAUAAAUCAGAUUACACUCCACACAGAACUCAGCCAAGGUUCACAUGGAAGGUUUGCAAACCUUUAAACUUGUCCUGAUUUCAGAGUUUGUGACAAGCAAACAAAGAGCUUCUGGGUUUUUGUUCUGGGCUGUCAGACCAUGAUGGCAGACACAGGAUACAUAACAAAACAAAUAACCAAUCUGAAGAUUCCCUUUUCUUUUGAGUAAAAUAACUGUAAAGAUGAUACAUUCUAUUAUAAAUAGCUUCGAGAUUAACACAAAUUCAUAAUUACCAAACAAUUUGUGCACCAACAGUUGCUUUAGGAAGAUGACCGAGCACAGAAGUAUAUGCUAAUCAGUCACUUUUGCUUUUUUUUAACCCAAGACAAAUCAGACUGUAGGACUGCUAUCAGAUAGUCAAUUAAGUUCUGAUAAGUACCAACAUGUGACUGCAUUGGCUCAAGCACACAUGGUCACAUUUUGUUGUGAAUCAACACAAAAAUGUGUAUGACUACAGAAAGUCCCAGCAGUGAUGCCUGCCUGGGAUUCUGUGACUAUUGCUUGCUUUGUCACUAGUGGGUACAGGCUGGAGAAAUUUCUCCCCCAUAGCUGUGGCUGACUACAAGCACAACUUUUGGGUCCAAUUUCAGAAUUCACUUUCACAUUGCAAAGCAGAGAUUAAAUAUUUGGGUUCUGAGCAGUCCAUCAGCUGCAGUUCUUUGAAUACCAAGCAAACUCCCACACAGACCACCUCCUUUCCAGAGAAAGGUUGUCUGGGUGUGAGACCUUCCCCAAAGAAGACUCAAGGGAUGGGAAAAAAUCAAGUGCCCAGCAAGCAAAAGAGAAAGGUUGCACUGUGGUUUCUCAAAUGUCUGAUAACAGGAAUUCAGACUUGUAAAUUAUGAUCCUCAUAAUUUGAAGACUGAAAUAUUCUCCAAAUUAAUGCCAAAAGAAACACACUUAAACAUGGUUGCAAUAAAUGUAUUAAAGUAUUAAAGUAAAAUAAAAAG